GCGGGUUUGUGGCAUGCACAAAAUAUACACAAAUCUUGACCAUAUUACAAUCGAGUGUGUAUCCAGGCUUAUAACAGUUCCCCGGUUGCGCUGUUUAAAAAUCAUACACUCGGUAUUUAUAUCAUUUAGUGAAAGUAAGUUGGAAAAAUGGAGUUUCGAGCGAACAAACGCAUUUAACUAAGUAGCCAAAAGGGUCCAAGUCCCCUUGAUCUCGCAAGAACGUACUGCCAGAAUUACGUUGAUCCACCAUGUUUUGAAGUAAAAACCGUCAAUGAUGUCAUAGGCGAAGGAGUCUUUGCCACUAAGCCUUUUAAAAAGGGAGACUUUCUUCUCGAAUACAAAGGGGAUCUGAUAACACGAGUAAAACAUGCACGGUAAUUAGAAAAGGAGUAUGAAAAGGAGGUUCAAGUCAGCUUCAUGUACUUUUUAAAUACAGAGACAAAUCUUGCUGCAUUGACGCUACCAACGAUAUAUUUCAUGAGGGUCGAAUGAUAAAUGAUGCCGAAAAUGGAGACGCAAAACAAAUUUGUGUAAUGAAAAUAGUUGAAGUCAACCAAACUCCCCAUCUAUGCACUUUCGCCGACAGAGACAUUGCAAUUGGCGAGGAACUCCGAUAUGAUUAUGGAGUACCAACUCUUCCAUGGAGA